rnacentral:rRNA from 1 species
CACGUAGGGUGCGAGCGUUGUCCGGAAUUAUUGGGCGUAAAGAGCUCGUAGGCGGUUUGUCGCGUCUGCUGUGAAAACUCGGGGCUUAACCCCGGGCCUGCAGUGGGUACGGGCAGACUAGAGUACGGUAGGGGAGACUGGAAUUCCUGGUGUAGCGGUGAAAUGCGUAGAUAUCUGGAGGAAUACCGGUGGCGAAGGCGGCAUCCUGGACCGACAUUUGACGCUGAGGAGCGAAAGCUAGGGGAGCAAACGGGG